UUACGGCCAUACCACGUUGAAACACCGGUUCUCAUAAGUUCAGCGAAAUUAAGCAACGUCGAUCCCUGUCAGUAUCUAGAUGGGUGACCGCUUGCGAAUAUUAGGUUCUGUAAG